CCCUCCGACUUUCUUGUUCAGUUGUUCGAUAACAAGCGCAAAACCCUCGGCGGUUUCUCACUCUUUUUUUCCACGCAGUAUCCGUUCCCGCCUAAUCGUUUCCUCAGUGAGCAGCAUUAGGGUUUCGGGGAAAGGAUGGAUCCCUCUCCGUCCUCGUCUUCACGUUCUUCAAUGGCGGUGCCUGCCAAGAUUUUUGUUGGAGGAAUCACUAAAGGGUUGGAGGAUGACGCGCUGAAAGAGUAUUUUGAGAGGUAUGGGGAUGUUAAGGAGGUCGUGGUGGUGAAAGAGAGAGCGACGGGAAAUGUGAAGGGCUACGGUUUUGUUGAAUUCGUUGACGCGGAAGCUGCGGAAAGGGCCAUCAAUGAGGAGGGGCAGCAUCUUAUUAGGGAUAAAUUGCUAGAAGUCAAGAGAGCUAGAUCAAGAUCAGAAGAGCGGAGGCAUUAUCAAUACGCUUGUCACCAAAGUUCUGUUCAAAGUACUAACAAAACUAGUAAUGACCAUCAUAAUAUUACCUCCAAAAAGAUUUUUGUUGGAGGAUUGCCAUCUAAUGUUACUGAAGAUGAGUUUAGGAAUUACUUUGAGAAAUUUGGUUCUGUGAAUGAUGUGGUUAUUAUGAAUGAUAGUGAAACACAUCGGCCAAGAGGCUUUGGCUUUAUAACCUUUGAUUCAGAAGAGGCAGUACAGAAAACAAUGCAGAAGAGGUUUCAUGAGCUGAAUAAAAAAGUUGUUGAGGUUAAAAUAGCAGUUCCCAAGGAUAAUCAGCACACUUCUGGCAGUAGCCAUAACAAGAUGAAUAAUAAUUCUAGCCCAGGUUGGGAUAGGCUAAAUUCUUAUGUUAAUUAUCUUCCUUGGGGUUAUCCACCUUAUGGUCCUGAAUAUGGGUAUUAUUAUGGUUAUGAAUCACAACUUGUUCCUUGUUAUGGAUUCGGACCAGUUGGCUAUGAAGGAGGAUAUACAUAUGAAGGCUAUAGUGCUAUUGGUUAUGGUGCCCCAUAUUCAAGUCCAAUGUUUACAUGGAAUGAGCAUGCCUUGAUGACUGUAAGACAUAUUUCAGUUCCUUAUCGUGAUGCUACUUUCUACCCUGGAUAUGUAAAUUCAGGGCCUAGUGGUUAUAUGAGGAUGCCUAGUGGAGGAUACAAUGGGGCUAUGCGUCUUGGCAAGGGAAAAUUAAAUCAAACUGGGGGCCAUCUACAUAUUAAAGAGCUUGCAAAUGCAGUGUCUUUGGAGCUUGAUAAUGUCAAGAUUGAGGAUGCUCAAUAAUCACUUAACUGGUAAGGAUCUUAUUUUCAUUCCAUUUGAAGUAGGUCUCUUCUUUUCUUGAUGUGCAGAACUUGCUGCUUAGAGAGGGAUUAAGUCCUUACAAUCCAGCAAAUCAAAGUAUCAAAAACAUCAAGGUUGCUGCAAAGAAUAUCAAAACCCAAUGAGUGGGCGCCUAUUCAUGUAAUGUCAGUUUCUCUUAACUUGAUUUGAAGUAUAUAGAUGCUUAUUAGAUAGUUAUAUGUAACCCUGACCAAAGUCUUUUAUUCUUCUUCUUUUUUUCUUUCACGCAAUUAUUUUACUGUCUCAGCAACUGAACACAGUUGGAUAGUUUAGGUUGGCACAUUUAUGAGCUUUUUCUCUGGGUGCAUGUUA